GUCGCGGUCAAUCCCGCGACCGGGAUUGGCGUCCCGAUUGCUAUGGCGGACAACCGCCUUCAGAGCGGUUUUUUU
rnacentral:sRNA from 1 species